GGGUUGUGAGGUUAAGCGACUAAGCGUACACGGUGGAUGCCCUGGCAGUCAGAGGCGAUGAAGGGCGUGCUAAUCUGCGAUAAGCGCCGGUAAGGUGAUAUGAACCGUUAUAACCGGCGAUACCCGAAUGGGGAAACCCAGUGUGACUCGUCACACUAUCAUUAACUGAAUCCAUAGGUUAAUGAGGCGAACCGGGGGAACUGAAACAUCUAAGUACCCCGAGGAAAAGAAAUCAACCGAGAUUCCCCCAGUAGCGGCGAGCGAACGGGGAGGAGCCCAGAGCCUGAAUCAGCAUGUGUGUUAGUGGAAGCGUCUGGAAAGGCGCGCGAUACAGGGUGACAGCCCCGUACACAAAAGCGCAUGUGUUGUGAGCUCGAUGAGUAGGGCGGGACACGUGGUAUCCUGUCUGAAUAUGGGGGGACCAUCCUCCAAGGCUAAAUACUCCUGACUGACCGAUAGUGAACCAGUACCGUGAGGGAAAGGCGAAAAGAACCCCGGCGAGGGGAGUGAAAAAGAACCUGAAACCGUGUACGUACAAGCAGUGGGAGCACCCUUCGGGGUGUGACUGCGUACCUUUUGUAUAAUGGGUCAGCGACUUAUAUUCUGUAGCAAGGUUAACCGAAUAGGGGAGCCGGAGGGAAACCGAGUCUUAACCGGGCGUUAAGUUGCAGGGUAUAGACCCGAAACCCGGUGAUCUAGCCAUGGGCAGGUUGAAGGUUGGGUAACACUAACUGGAGGACCGAACCGACUAAUGUUGAAAAAUUAGCGGAUGACCUGUGGCUGGGGGUGAAAGGCCAAUCAAACCGGGAGAUAGCUGGUUCUCCCCGAAAGCUAUUUAGGUAGCGCCUCGUGAAUUCAUCUCCGGGGGUAGAGCACUGUUUCGGCUAGGGGGCCAUCCCGGCUUACCAACCCGAUGCAAACUGCGAAUACCGGAGAAUGUUAUCACGGGAGACACACGGCGGGUGCUAACGUCCGUCGUGAAGAGGGAAACAACCCAGACCGCCAGCUAAGGUCCCAAAGUCAUGGUUAAGUGGGAAACGAUGUGGGAAGGCCCAGACAGCCAGGAUGUUGGCUUAGAAGCAGCCAUCAUUUAAAGAAAGCGUAAUAGCUCACUGGUCGAGUCGGCCUGCGCGGAAGAUGUAACGGGGCUAAACCAUGCACCGAAGCUGCGGCAGCGACACUGUGUGUUGUUGGGUAGGGGAGCGUUCUGUAAGCCUGUGAAGGUGUGUCGUGAGGCAUGCUGGAGGUAUCAGAAGUGCGAAUGCUGACAUAAGUAACGAUAAAGCGGGUGAAAAGCCCGCUCGCCGGAAGACCAAGGGUUCCUGUCCAACGUUAAUCGGGGCAGGGUGAGUCGACCCCUAAGGCGAGGCCGAAAGGCGUAGUCGAUGGGAAACGGGUUAAUAUUCCCGUACUUGGUGUUACUGCGAAGGGGGGACGGAGAAGGCUAUGUUGGCCGGGCGACGGUUGUCCCGGUUUAAGCGUGUAGGUGUGUGUUCCAGGUAAAUCCGGUUCACUUUAACACUGAGGCGUGAUGACGAGGCACUACGGUGCUGAAGCAACAAAUGCCCUGCUUCCAGGAAAAGCCUCUAAGCAUCAGGUAACAUCAAAUCGUACCCCAAACCGACACAGGUGGUCAGGUAGAGAAUACCAAGGCGCUUGAGAGAACUCGGGUGAAGGAACUAGGCAAAAUGGUGCCGUAACUUCGGGAGAAGGCACGCUGACACGUAGGUGAAGUGAUUUACUCAUGGAGCUGAAGUCAGUCGAAGAUACCAGCUGGCUGCAACUGUUUAUUAAAAACACAGCACUGUGCAAACACGAAAGUGGACGUAUACGGUGUGACGCCUGCCCGGUGCCGGAAGGUUAAUUGAUGGGGUCAGCGCAAGCGAAGCUCCUGAUCGAAGCCCCGGUAAACGGCGGCCGUAACUAUAACGGUCCUAAGGUAGCGAAAUUCCUUGUCGGGUAAGUUCCGACCUGCACGAAUGGCGUAAUGAUGGCCAGGCUGUCUCCACCCGAGACUCAGUGAAAUUGAACUCGCUGUGAAGAUGCAGUGUACCCGCGGCAAGACGGAAAGACCCCGUGAACCUUUACUAUAGCUUGACACUGAACAUUGAGCCUUGAUGUGUAGGAUAGGUGGGAGGCUUUGAAGUGUGGACGCCAGUCUGCAUGGAGCCGACCUUGAAAUACCACCCUUUAAUGUUUGAUGUUCUAACGUGGACCCGUGAUCCGGGUUGCGGACAGUGUCUGGUGGGUAGUUUGACUGGGGCGGUCUCCUCCUAAAGAGUAACGGAGGAGCACGAAGGUUGGCUAAUCCUGGUCGGACAUCAGGAGGUUAGUGCAAUGGCAUAAGCCAGCUUGACUGCGAGCGUGACGGCGCGAGCAGGUGCGAAAGCAGGUCAUAGUGAUCCGGUGGUUCUGAAUGGAAGGGCCAUCGCUCAACGGAUAAAAGGUACUCCGGGGAUAACAGGCUGAUACCGCCCAAGAGUUCAUAUCGACGGCGGUGUUUGGCACCUCGAUGUCGGCUCAUCACAUCCUGGGGCUGAAGUAGGUCCCAAGGGUAUGGCUGUUCGCCAUUUAAAGUGGUACGCGAGCUGGGUUUAGAACGUCGUGAGACAGUUCGGUCCCUAUCUGCCGUGGGCGCUGGAGAACUGAGGGGGGCUGCUCCUAGUACGAGAGGACCGGAGUGGACGCAUCACUGGUGUUCGGGUUGUCAUGCCAAUGGCACUGCCCGGUAGCUAAAUGCGGAAGAGAUAAGUGCUGAAAGCAUCUAAGCACGAAACUUGCCCCGAGAUGAGUUCUCCCUGAGACUUAGAGUCUCCUGAAGGAACGUUGAAGACGACGACGUUGAUAGGCCGGGUGUGUAAGCGCAGCGAUGCGUUGAGCUAACCGGUACUAAUGAACCGUGAGGCUUAACCUUACAACGCCGAAG
rnacentral:rRNA from 1 species